rnacentral:rRNA from 1 species
UACACGCUGUGACUAGCAUAUCAAUAAGCGGAGGAAAAGAAACUAACAAGGAUUCCCCUAGUAACGGCGAGUGAAGCGGGAAGAGCUCAAAUUUGAAAUCUUAAAGGGUUUCCCUUUACGAAUUGUAGUUUAAAGAAGUGUUUUCUGUUGAGGUUUUGGUAAAAGUUCUUUGGAAUAGGACAUCAUAGAGGGUGAGAAUCCCGUAUUUGACCUUUACUUUCAACUUUGUGAUACACUUUCAAAGAGUCGGAUUGUUUGGGAAUGCAGUCCAAAAUGGGUGGUAAAUUUCAUCUAAAGCUAAAUAUUGGCGAGAGACCGAUAGCGAACAAGUACCGUGAGGGAAAGAUGAAAAGAACUUUGAAAAGAGAGUUAAACAGUACGUGAAAUUGUCAAAAGGGAAGCGUUUGACACCAGUGUUGUUUUUCUGAAAAUCAAUUAAAGAACUGUUUAUGCUAAGCUGUUUAGACUUUAUCAGCUAUCUGUUUAGUUUUGAGCUUUUCUUUAAUGCACUUUUCAGUUAACAAGUCAACAUCAAUUUCUUUUGCUGUAAAAAAGCUUGAGGAAGGUGGCUUGAGAUUCGUCUUAAGUGUUUAUAGCCUCUUGCCUAUGCAGUCGGAGAGAUUGAGGUCUGCAGCGUAGAUCCUUCGGGGCUAAAUGCAUUUGUGCUAAGUUAUAGCAUUUAUAGACAACUUGUUGACUAUGAUUUGUCUUGUAGCUUACUCGCUUAUGUUAUUUUACCUACGCUUAGGAUGUUGACGCGCGUGUGUGCGUG